UACGUAUGGUGCAAGCGUUAUCCGGAUUUACUGGGUGUAAAGGGAGCGCAGGCGGCACGGCAAGCCUGAUGUGAAAGCCCGCGGCCCAACCGCGGGACUGCAUUGGGAACUACCGGGCUGGAGUGCCGGAGAGGUAGGCGGAAUUCCUAGUGUAGCGGUGAAAUGCGUAGAUAUUAGGAGGAACACCAGUGGCGGAGGCGGCCUACUGGACGGUGACUGACGCUGAGGCUCGAAAGCGUGGGGAGCAAACAGG
rnacentral:rRNA from 1 species